rnacentral:rRNA from 1 species
UGGUGGAGUGAUUUGUCUGGUUAAUUCCGAUAACGAACGAGACUCUAGCCUACUAACUAGACUGCCAGUUUAGUUGCUGGUGGAGCUUCUUAGAGGGACUAGUUGCUUUUAGCAACGUGAAGGAGAGCAAUGACA